CACGAACGCUGGCGGCGUGCCUAACACAUGCAAGUCGAACGGAGAAUUCAGCAAUGGAUUCUUAGUGGCGAACGGGUGAGUAACGCGUAGACAACCUGCCUUCUAGAUGGGGACAACAAUGGGAAACUAGUGCUAAUACCGAAUGUUGUAUUGAGGAUGCAUGCUCUUAAUACUAAAGAGGGCCUCUAGUUAUAAGCUAUCGCUAGAAGAUGGGUCUGCGUCUGAUUAGCUAGUUGGUGAGGUAAUGGCUCACCAAGGCGACGAUCAGUAGCGGGUGUGAGAGGAUAGACGGCCACACUGGGACUGAGACACGGCCCAGACUCCUACGGGAGGCAGCAGUGGGGAAUCUUCCGCAAUGGCCGAAAGUCUGACGGAGCAACGCCGCGUGAGUGAAGAAUGUUUUCGGAUCGUCAACCUCUGUUUUCAGGGACGAAUGUGCUUUUUGUAAAUACUGCGAAGUAAUGACGGUACCUGAGUAGAAAGCCACGGCUAACUACGUGCCAGCCGCCGCCGUAAAAC
rnacentral:rRNA from 1 species